UUAUGAGCAAAAGUCUACUUUUUAGAUUCAUUCAAUAAAUGAUGUAUGUGGUAUAUAUAAUAGACCACAUAUAUCAUUUAUUGAAUAAACCUAAAAGGUUGAUUUUUGCUUAUAA
rfam:Medicago truncatula strain A17 chromosome 8, whole genome shotgun sequence.